CCUACGGGGGGCAGCAGUCGAGAAUCAUUCACAAUGGGGGAAACCCUGAUGGUGCGACGCCGCGUGGGGGAAUGAAGGUCUUCGGAUUGUAAACCCCUGUCAUGUGGGAGCAAAUUAAAAAGAUAGUACCACAAGAGGAAGAGACGGCUAACUCUGUGCCAGCAGCCGCGGUAAUACAGAGGUCUCAAGCGUUGUUCGGAAUCACUGGGCGUAAAGCGAGCGUAGGCUGUUUCGUAAGUCGUGUGUGAAAGGCGCGGGCUCAACCCGCGGACGGCACAUGAUACUGGGAGACUAGAGUAAGGGAGGGGGAACCGGAAUUCUCGGUGUAGCAGUGAAAUGCGUAGAUAUCGAGAGGAACACUAGUGGCGAAGGCGAGUUCCUGGACAUUAACUGACGCUGAGGCACGAAGGCCAGGGGAGCGAAAGGGAUUAGAUACCCUGGUAGUC
rnacentral:rRNA from 1 species